AGUGAACGCUGGCGGUAGGCCUAACACAUGCAAGUCGAACGGCAGCACAGUAAGAGCUUGCUCUUACGGGUGGCGAGUGGCGGACGGGUGAGGAAUACAUCGGAAUCUACUUUUUCGUGGGGGAUAACGUAGGGAAACUUACGCUAAUACCGCAUACGACCUACGGGUGAAAGCAGGGGAUCUUCGGACCUUGCGCGAUUGAAUGAGCCGAUGUCGGAUUAGCUAGUUGGCGGGGUAAAGGCCCACCUAGGCGACGAUCCGUAGCUGGUCUGAGAGGAUGAUCAGCCACACUGGAACUGAGACACGGUCCAGACUCCUACGGGAGGCAGCAGUGGGGAAUAUUGGACAAUGGGCGCAAGCCUGAUCCAGCCAUACCGCGUGGGUGAAGAAGGCCUUCGGGUUGUAAAGCCCUUUUGUUGGGAAAGAAAAGCAGCAGGUUGAUACCCCGCUGUUCUGACGGUACCCAAAGAAUAAGCACCGGCUAACUUCGUG
rnacentral:rRNA from 1 species